UUAAGAUGAUUCUAGUUCAGUCAGAACAACACGCUAAAUUUCACUAAACAACAACAACAACAACAACAACAACAACAAAAAUGUACACUCUAGACUUUUAGGAGGGACACUUCCUCAGUUAUGGGAUGGCUUUAUUUGUUAACACUAGGCUAUGGUCAUCUAAGCCUAAAGGCACCCCCUAUGCUUAGAACAAUUAAAUCAUAACAAGGAAAAUCAACUUAAUAACACUGGAAAAUUAGGCUGGGUAUCUUACGAAAACUGCCAGUGUACCAUGUCUCUUCAAGAAAGUGAUUGAUAUGGAACAGAUUGGGUUGGAAGACUAGAAAUAAACUCGCUGGCAACUAAGGGGACUCUAUGGCUUUGUGGGUUCAAUUUAUGACCCUGGCUUCUGCCAAGAGGGCUAGGAAGGUAUACUUUAAGAUUCCCUUAGGCUCAAGGCCAUUUAUGUACAAACUUAGAUGGAACUCCAGCAAAUUUACCAUCAAUAUGAGCCUGAAGAACCAAGAGAUCUGUAUUUCACUGGUAUGAUCAUUUAACAGCUACUUUUGCACCUUCUUUGCAAUGUGAGAAAAUAUUAUUUCUCACAUUGAAGCCUUAACAGAAUUCACUCAAAAGGCCUUAAAUGAUAGCAGCCAGGCUAUUAGCCUACUAAAUUCUGAGUCUCUAUGUGGAGAAAAGCUGUAUUACAAAAUCGUAUGGCCCUUGAUAUCUUUAGCAGAUCUCAAGGGGGCAACAGUUCUAUAAUUCAAACUAAAUGCUAUGUUUUCAUACCAGAUGAAUCCUCUAAUAUAACACAUUUAAUGACUCACAGGAAAAAUUAUAUUGCUGCCUUAGAUGAUCCACUUCCUAGCCUUGGUGAUCUUUUAGGAAGACAGUUUGGUGUCGGAAGCUCAUGGUUUGAAUCCCUACUUGUAACUUUAACAAGUUAUUAGCUAUAUUGCUUGUAAUCUGUUUAUUUCAUAAGAUUGUUUUCUCUUGUAUUAGAUGAUGUAUAACCAGGCCCAGCCAAAUUAAUGACAGCUAAACAGCUUGAAGAAACAGAUCACGUUUAUAAUGUAGAAUAAUUGUAAUAGUGUGAUUCUAGGUAGAAAUAGGAAGAAACAACAAGGAAAAUAUCUCCUGGAUCCUAUUAGGUUAGAAGAUAGAGGAUUCAGAGAAUCUAUUAUCCAUUAAUGGACCUAAUCCAGAAAGUAACACCUGGAAUGACUUACCAACAAAAAAUUUCCAUCUGACCUAGGAUCAGUCUCCCAGCAACAUGGGACAAAAGAAACAAUGGUUUUGAAAUAUCUCCCAAUAUGGUCGAAUUUCCAACCGUGGGGAGAGACUAUGAAAUGAAAUGUUUUCUCCUCUAUGCUGUACAAGUAAACAAGUCUUUUCCAAAUGCAAACUUCUGAGCUCAGGUGAAAGAAAGUCAGCUAUUUGAAAGCCAUCAGCUACUUCCUCCCCAGUAAGCACACAGGAGCUAGGGGGAAGUGAGAGGCAGGUGGCCAUCUGCCACAUUCACCAUCUUUUACAGUAUACAAGGAACUAGUAUGUGAAUAAUAAAGAAAGCAGGAUUGGCCUCAGAGAGCUAGAUGCAUAUGAAUGAAAUGAUUUCACAAGCCUGGAUGCUUGCAGCUUGAGAAGAUCUCUAAAUCUUUUCCCAUACAUAGAAGAUCACUUUAUCUUAUUAGAUCACUAAAUCUCUUUAGAUUUAACCUCUAAAUCUCUUGAGAGAUUUAACUUUCUCUUAAUUAACAGUAAUCUUUUAAUAUUCAGAUUACUUGCCCCUCCUGUAUAUACCUUGGCUCCUCCCCUGCUUCCUCUGAGUCAGUGUCUCUCAGGGUCACCUGAGAUACUGUCUCCCAGGCUUGAGUCUUAGCAUUCUCACUGAAUAAAACCUAACUCUCAACUUUAGAUUGCAUGUGUGUGUGUUUUUUUUUUUUUU
ensembl:lncRNA